AAAAAUGCACAUGCUGUGAGCUCGAUGAGUAGGGCGGGACACGUGGUAUCCUGUCUGAAUAUGGGGGGACCAUCCUCCAAGGCUAAAUACUCCUGACUGACCGAUAGUGAACCAGUACCGUGAGGGAAAGGCGAAAAGAACCCCGGCGAGGGGAGUGAAAAAGAACCUGAAACCGUGUACGUACAAGCAGUGGGAGCACGCUUAGGCGUGUGACUGCGUACCUUUUGUAUAAUGGGUCAGCGACUUAUAUUCUGUAGCAAGGUUAACCGAAUAGGGGAGCCGAAGGGAAACCGAGUCUUAACUGGGCGUUAAGUUGCAGGGUAUAGACCCGAAACCCGGUGAUCUAGCCAUGGGCAGGUUGAAGGUUGGGUAACACUAACUGGAGGACCGAACCGACUAAUGUUGAAAAAUUAGCGGAUGACUUGUGGCUGGGGGUGAAAGGCCAAUCAAACCGGGAGAUAGCUGGUUCUCCCCGAAAGCUAUUUAGGUAGCGCCUCGUGAAUUCAUCUCCGGGGGUAGAGCACUGUUUCGGCAAGGGGGUCAUCCCGACUUACCAACCCGAUGCAAACUGCGAAUACCGGAGAAUGUUAUCACGGGAGACACACGGCGGGUGCUAACGUCCGUCGUGAAGAGGGAAACAACCCAGACCGCCAGCUAAGGUCCCAAAGUCAUGGUUAAGUGGGAAACGAUGUGGGAAGGCCCAGACAGCCAGGAUGUUGGCUUAGAAGCAGCCAUCAUUUAAAGAAAGCGUAAUAGCUCACUGGUCGAGUCGGCCUGCGCGGAAGAUGUAACGGGGCUAAACCAUGCACCGAAGCUGCGGCAGCGACGCUGAUGCGUUGUUGGGUAGGGGAGCGUUCUGUAAGCCUGCGAAGGUGUGCUGUGAGGCAUGCUGGAGGUAUCAGAAGUGCGAAUGCUGACAUAAGUAACGAUAAAGCGGGUGAAAAGCCCGCUCGCCGGAAGACCAAGGGUUCCUGUCCAACGUUAAUCGGGGCAGGGUGAGUCGACCCCUAAGGCGAGGCCGAAAGGCGUAGUCGAUGGGAAACAGGUUAAUAUUCCUGUACUUGGUGUUACUGCGAAGGGGGGACGGAGAAGGCUAUGUUGGCCGGGCGACGGUUGUCCCGGUUUAAGCGUGUAGGCUGGUUUUCCAGGCAAAUCCGGAAAAUCAAGGCUGAGGCGUGAUGACGAGGCACUACGGUGCUGAAGCAACAAAUGCCCUGCUUCCAGGAAAAGCCUCUAAGCAUCAGGUAACAUCAAAUCGUACCCCAAACCGACACAGGUGGUCAGGUAGAGAAUACCAAGGCGCUUGAGAGAACUCGGGUGAAGGAACUAGGCAAAAUGGUGCCGUAACUUCGGGAGAAGGCACGCUGAUAUGUAGGUGAAGUCCCUUGCGGAUGGAGCUGAAAUCAGUCGAAGAUACCAGCUGGCUGCAACUGUUUAUUAAAAACACAGCACUGUGCAAACACGAAAGUGGACGUAUACGGUGUGACGCCUGCCCGGUGCCGGAAGGUUAAUUGAUGGGGUCAGCGCAAGCGAAGCUCUUGAUCGAAGCCCCGGUAAACGGCGGCCGUAACUAUAACGGUCCUAAGGUAGCGAAAUUCCUUGUCGGGUAAGUUCCGACCUGCACGAAUGGCGUAAUGAUGGCCAGGCUGUCUCCACCCGAGACUCAGUGAAAUUGAACUCGCUGUGAAGAUGCAGUGUACCCGCGGCAAGACGGAAAGACCCCGUGAACCUUUACUAUAGCUUGACACUGAACAUUGAGCCUUGAUGUGUAGGAUAGGUGGGAGGCUUGGAAGUGUGGACGCCAGUCUGCAUGGAGCCGACCUUGAAAUACCACCCUUUAAUGUUUGAUGUUCUAACGUUGACCCGUAAUCCGGGUUGCGGACAGUGUCUGGUGGGUAGUUUGACUGGGGCGGUCUCCUCCUAAAGAGUAACGGAGGAGCACGAAGGUUGGCUAAUCCUGGUCGGACAUCAGGAGGUUAGUGCAAUGGCAUAAGCCAGCUUGACUGCGAGCGUGACGGCGCGAGCAGGUGCGAAAGCAGGUCAUAGUGAUCCGGUGGUUCUGAAUGGAAGGGCCAUCGCUCAACGGAUAAAAGGUACUCCGGGGAUAACAGGCUGAUACCGCCCAAGAGUUCAUAUCGACGGCGGUGUUUGGCACCUCGAUGUCGGCUCAUCACAUCCUGGGGCUGAAGUAGGUCCCAAGGGUAUGGCUGUUCGCCAUUUAAAGUGGUACGCGAGCUGGGUUUAGAACGUCGUGAGACAGUUCGGUCCCUAUCUGCCGUGGGCGCUGGAGAACUGAGGGGGGCUGCUCCUAGUACGAGAGGACCGGAGUGGACGCAUCACUGGUGUUCGGGUUGUCAUGCCAAUGGCACUGCCCGGUAGCUAAAUGCGGAAGAGAUAAGUGCUGAAAGCAUCUAAGCACGAAACUUGCC
rnacentral:rRNA from 1 species